AGUGAACGCUGGCGGUAGGCCUAACACAUGCAAGUCGAACGGCAGCACAGUAAGAGCUUGCUCUUACGGGUGGCGAGUGGCGGACGGGUGAGGAAUACAUCGGAAUCUACUUUUUCGUGGGGGAUAACGUAGGGAAACUUACGCUAAUACCGCAUACGACCUACGGGUGAAAGCAGGGGAUCUUCGGACCUUGCGCGAUUGAAUGAGCCGAUGUCGGAUUAGCUAGUUGGCGGGGUAAAGGCACACCAAGGCGAAGCUCCGUAGCUGGUCGGAGAGGAUGGGAGGCGACAGUGGAACGGAGAGAAGGAGCGGAGUACUACGGGAGGCAGAAGUCGGGAAUGUUAAGCAAUGGGCGAAAGAAUGACGGAGCAAAGACGCGUGAGUGAUAAAGGUAUUCGGAUCGGAAAACUAUGUGAUUAGGGAAGAAAAAAUGUGUAAGUAAAUAUGCACGUCUGGACGGUACCUAAUAAGAAAGAAACGGCUAACUACGUG
rnacentral:rRNA from 1 species